CCAAACUGUUGCCUCGGCGGGGUCACGCCCCGGGUGCGUCGCAGCCCCGGAACCAGGCGCCCGCCGGAGGAACCAACCAAACUCUUUCUGUAGUCCCCUCGCGGACGUAUUUCUUACAGCUCUGAGCAAAAAUUCAAAAUGAAUCAAAACUUUCAACAACGGAUCUCUUGGUUCUGGCAUCGAUGAAGAACGCAGCGAAAUGCGAUAAGUAAUGUGAAUUGCAGAAUUCAGUGAAUCAUCGAAUCUUUGAACGCACAUUGCGCCCGCCAGUAUUCUGGCGGGCAUGCCUGUCCGAGCGUCAUUUCAACCCUCGAACCCCUCCGGGGGAUCGGCGUUGGGGAUCGGGACCCCUCACACGGGUGCCGGCCCCGAAAUACAGUGGCGGUCUCGCCGCAGCCUCUCCUGCGCAGUAGUUUGCACAACUCGCACCGGGAGCGCGGCGCGUCCACGUCCGUAAAACACCCAACUUUCUGAAAUGUUGACCUCGGAUCAGGUAGGAAUACCCGCUGAACUUAAGCAUAUCAAUAAGCGGAGGAA
rnacentral:rRNA from 1 species